UCUUUAGUAGCUCAUCGAUUAGAGAAAAUGGCUGUUAAUUAUCCUGACGUUGGUUCGAAACCAACCUAGAGAG
rnacentral:tRNA from 1 species